CCCCUGGUGAUGAAAACUGAAGAAAAAUCCAUCACUGAGGCACUCAAAGUUUAUAAUCCUUACCAGUGACCUCUCCAUGAACCCAAAUUUAAGGACGUUUUUAAAAGGAAAGAGUGUCAAAAUCUGCCCAGAGCGCUGUCCAGCCCUGGGACAACUCCUGGUGAGGCAGAAGAAAGGGAAACCCUCCUGCUGGUCUUUGAAGAAGCCGCUGGACAGACUGAGCCACAACCACAGUCCUUUGAGAAGAGUCCACUUCCUCUGGCACCAGCGAAUGAACCAGGACUUCAGGCUGCCAUACACACCGUCCUCACUGUUCCUGCCGAUCUUGUGUUUGGGGGAUGACCAGCCAUUUAAAACACACAGUGCAUUCUUA